UACGUAGGGGGCUAGCGUUGUCCGGAUUUAUUGGGCGUAAAGAGCGUGUAGGCGGCCAUGUAGGUCCGGUGUGAAAACUCGAGGCUUAACCUCGAGAUGUCAUCGGAAACCAUUUGGCUAGAGUCCGGAAGAGGAGAGUGGAAUUCCUGGUGUAGCGGUGAAAUGCGCAGAUAUCAGGAAGAACAUCGGUGGCGAAGGCGCUCUGCUGGACCAUAACUGACACUCAGGGACGAAAGCUAGGGGAGCGAAUGGG
rnacentral:rRNA from 1 species